rnacentral:ncRNA from 1 species
AGGGGCGAAAGACUAAUCGAACUGUCUAGUAGCUGGUUCCCUCCGAAGUUUCCCUCAGGAUAGCUGGAACUUACGGCAGUUUUAUCAGGUAAAGCGAAUGAUUAGAGGUCUUAGGGUUAAAACAACCUUAACCUAUUCUCAAACUUUAAAUUGGUAAGAAGUCCGACUUGCUUAAUUGAAGCCGGACAGUGAAUGCGAGUUCCUAGUGGGCCAUUUUUGGUAAGCAGAACUGGCGAUGCGGGAUGAACCGAACGCGCGGUUAAGGUGCCAAAGUCGACGCUCAUCAGACCCCACAAAAGGUGUUGGUUGCUCUAGACAGCAGGACGGUGGCCAUGGAAGUUGGAAUCCGCUAAGGAGUGUGUAACAACUCACCUGCCGAAGCAACUAGCCCUGAAAAUGGAUGGCGCUCAAGCGUCGCACCUAUACCGUGCCGUCGGAGCAGAUGCGAAGCUCCGACGAGUAGGAGGGCGUGGGGGUCGUGACGCAGCCUCUGGCGCGAGCCUGGGUGAAACGGCCUCCAGUGCAGAUCUUGGUGGUAGUAGCAAAUAUUCAAAUGAGAGCUUUGAAGACCGAAGUGGAGAAAGGUUCCAUGUGAACAGCAGUUGGACAUGGGUUAGUCGAUCCUAAGAGAUAGGGAAAUUCCGUUUGCAAGCGCCCGAUCUUGGGCCGCCUAUCGAAAGGGAAUCGGGUUAAUAUUCCCGAACCGGGACGCGGAUAUUGCCGUUCGCGGCAGAUGCGGUAACGCANACGAACCCGAAGACGCUGGCGGGGGCCCUGGGAAGAGUUCUCUUUUCUUUUUAACGAGCUUUCACCCUGAAAUCAGCUUGCCUGGAGAUAGGGUUUAAUGCUCGGUAAAGCACCACACUUCUUGUGGUGUCCGGUGCGCUCUCGACGGC